ensembl:lncRNA
CACCGAGCCACAACCCAGUAAUGACAUAUCAACAGGUCCGGAUCCCGAACUCUCCGAGUCGGACUCCCUGGAAGAACACAAUAGACAGAAUCUGGGUGAAAGUACCGAUCGACAGUAAUAUGGAUCGCCACGAUCAAAACCGUGCCAUGGAUAGACAACACGUCUCCACUUCUUCAUCUAUGACACCUGAGAUGUCAUCUUGCGCUCUUGAUGUUAUCUGAAGUCAGAAGCUACGGAGUAGUGAUGGGUCCUCGUGCGCAGGUGUGUUGAGAAGUGACGGGUAGCACCACUGUAGCUCAGCACUCUCCUCCCUCCCCCACUCCUUCAGCCCCACAUCGUCCACGUCUUUCUCCAGCGACGUGCUGCUGCUGCCCAGGUCAGAGCCGCUGAUCGGCUGGUCGCUGUCGUAGCCGGCCUCCUCCUGGCUCUGGUUGGAUAAGGAGAGGAAGACG